CUAGCCGUAAACGAUGGGUACUAGGUGUGGGAGGUAUCGACCCCUUCCGUGCCGGAGUUAACGCAAUAAGUACCCCGCCUGGGGACUACGAUCGCAAGAUUGAAACUCAAAGGAAUUGACGGGGGCCCGCACAAGCGGUGGAGUAUGUGGUUUAAUUCGACGCAACGCGAAGAACCUUACCUGGACUUGACAUACCCUGAAUAUCUUAGAGAUAAGAGAAGCCCUUCGGGGCAGGGAUACAGGUGG
rnacentral:rRNA from 1 species